rnacentral:rRNA from 1 species
GUAACCUGCCCAUCACUCUGGGAUAAGCGCUGGAAACGGCGUCUAAUACUGGAUACGACCAACCCUUGCAUGGGGUGUUGGUGGAAAGAUUUAUCGGUGAUGGAUGGACUCGCGGCCUAUCAGCUUGUUGGUGGGGUAAUGGCCUACCAAGGCGACGACGGGUAGCCGGCCUGAGAGGGCGACCGGCCACACUGGGACUGAGACACGGCCCAGACUCCUACGGGAGGCAGCAGUGGGGAAUAUUGCACAAUGGGCGAAAGCCUGAUGCAGCGACGCCGCGUGAGGGAUGACGGCCUUCGGGUUGUAAACCUCUUUCAGCAGGGAAGAAGCUUUUGUGACGGUACCUGCAGAAGAAGCACCGGCUAACUACGUGCCAGCAGCCGCGGUAAUACGUAGGGUGCGAGCGUUGUCCGGAAUUAUUGGGCGUAAAGAGCUUGUAGGCGGUUUGUCGCGUCUGCUGUGAAAAUCUAGGGCUUAACCCUGGACGUGCAGUGGGUACGGGCAGACUAGAGUAUGGUAGGGGAGACUGGAAUUCCUGGUGUAGCGGUGGAAUGCGCAUAUAUCACGAGGAAACACCCGAUGGCGAAGGCAUGUCUCUGGGCCCAUUUACUGACGCUGAGAAAGCGAAAAGCAUGGGGAGCGAACAGGAUUAGAUACCCUGGUAGUCCAUGCCGUAAACGUGGGCGCUAGGCGUGGGUCUCAUUCCACGAGAUCCGUGUCGCAGCUAACGCAUUAAGCGCCCCGCCUGGGGAGUACGGCCGCAAGGCUAAAACUCAAAGGAAUUGACGGGGGCCCGCACAAGCGGCGGAGCAUGCUGAUUAAUUCGAUGCAACGCGAAGAACCUUACCAAGGCUUGACAUGCACCGGAUCGCCUCAGAGAUGGGGUUUCCCUUUGGGCUGGUGCACAGGUGGUGCAUGGUUGUCGUCAGCUCGUGUCGUGAGAUGUUGGGUUAAGUCCCGCAACGAGCGCAACCCUCGUUCUAUGUUGCCAGCACGUUAUGGUGGGGACUCAUAGGAGACUGCCGGGGUCAACUCGGAGGAAGGUGGGGAUGACGUCAAAUCAUCAUGCCCCUUAUGUCUUGGGCUUCAAGCAUGCUACAAUGGCCGGUACAGAGGGCUGCGAUACCGUAAGGUGGAGCGAAUCCCAAAAAACCGGUCUCAGUUCGGAUUGGGGUCUGCAACUCGACCCCAUGAAGUCGGAGUCGCUAGUAAUCGCAGAUCAGCAACGGUGCGGGAAUACGUUCCCGGGCCUUGUACAC